GCGGGACAGGCCUUUCAGAUGGAGGUUGGAGUGCAGGCCGACAGCACAACACAAGUUUUUCUUCAGCCCAUUGCCCCUGCUGACCUGUCUGUCAUAAACCAGCCUGACGUCUCUACAGACUGCAGAGCGAGCGCUGUGAUCCUGACAAAGGCUUUUGUCUCAGCCGAAGCCUCUGGUCUUUAGAAACCGACGAAGGCUCGGUUUCCUAAUAGCUUCUCCGUGAAUUGCAAAUCAAUGAACCAAAAUGAUCUUUGGAUUGCCGUGAGCGCUCACUCACGAUGGUGUUUCCCAUGUUGGAGUCUCCCCCUGUGGUCUUUGUCGAUAAGGCCUUCCGUGGAAAUAUAGAGGACAUAUAGGACAGAUCCUAACACACACUCAGUCUAAGAUGAAUAAUUUAACCGUGUUUGUUGCGUAAUCAGAAUCAGAAUUGGCUUUAUUGGCCAUGUAGAGCUCGUUAUGUAUAAUGCACAACAUCAUAUACCAGCACCACCAGAGACACGUUCUCAUUCAGGAUCAGCCCUGCAAAAACAUUACCAUUCCUUUCAUUACGUUAACGUGCUUCUAUUGCGCUUCCAUAUUUUAUACACACACGCAUUGUAUAUUAGAAUCCACUCAGCUGCAAUAACACUUGAGCGCAGCUGCCUAAUGGCCUACUUCUUUAGGUAAUGAAAAUGUAUAGUCAAGACUCAUAAUAGGUCCAUUGGGUAAAUAAUAUAAAAUAAAAGUCCAGCUGUUAUGACAUAACAAUAACGUAAUUAUACCGUAUAGACAUAAAGAACUGCAUCCGUUUGCAGUGCUGUGCUAUUUCUUACAAUCUCUAACUAAACACUGGCUUCCAAUAGACUUUUUAGCAUCUCCAGAUGUAGCUGUGGAGUUCAACAGACAUUGUGUUCUUGUUUCCCUGAAGUAGGAGGACACAUUGUCACUGUGUUUAAUUCUGACAGAUGGCAGAAUAGUUAGUGGUUUUCAUUAGAAGGAGGACUUGGCUGAAAACGCACAACAGCGGAUUCAUAAUUGGUGUCAUCCAACGUCCUGCCCUUCGCCUCAUAAAGUCAAGAAGCCGGCAUGCAAUGAAUGUAGUGGAAAGCAUCUCACAAUGGCCUUUGAAGAUUUUGCCACAUUAAUUGAUUAGUAAGAUGUUACGUAAAAUAAAG
ensembl:lncRNA